UGGGGAAUAUUUCACAAUGGGCGCAAGCCUGAUGCAGCCAUGCCGCGUGUAUGAAGAAGGCCUUCGGGUUGUAAAGUACUUUCAGUCGGGAGGAAGGUGGUCAGGUUAAUAACCUUAUCAAUUGACGUUACCGACAGAAGAAGCACCGGCUAACUCCGUGCCAGCAGCCGCGGUAAUACGGAGGGUGCAAGCGUUAAUCGGAAUUACUGGGCGUAAAGCGCACGCAGGCGGUUGAUUGAGUCAGAUGUGAAAUCCCCGGGCUUAACCCGGGAAUUGCAUCUGAUACGGGUCAGCUAGAGUCUUGUAGAGGGGGGUAGAAUUCCAUGGGUAGCGGUGAAAUGCGUAGAGAUGUGGAGGAAUACCGGUGGCGAAGGCGGCCCCCUGGACAAAGACUGACGCUCAGGGGCGAAAGCGUGGGGAGCAAACAGG
rnacentral:rRNA from 1 species